AUUGAACGCUGGCGGCAGGCCUAACACAUGCAAGUCGAGCGGAUGACGGGAGCUUGCUCCUUGAUUCAGCGGCGGACGGGUGAGUAAUGCCUAGGAAUCUGCCUGGUAGUGGGGGACAACGUUUCGAAAGGAACGCUAAUACCGCAUACGUCCUACGGGAGAAAGCAGGGGACCUUCGGGCCUUGCGCUAACAGAUGAGCCUAGGUCGGAUUAGCUAGUAGGCGAGGUGAUGGCUCACCUAGGCGACGAUCCGUAACUGGUCUGAGAGGAUGAUCAGUCACGCUGGAACUGAGACACGGUCCAGACUCCUACGGGAGGCAGCCGUGGGGAAUAUUGGACAAUGGGCGAAAGCCUGAUCCAUCCAUGCCGCGUGUGUGAAGAAGGUCUUCGGAUUGUAAAGCACUUUAAGUUGGGAGGAAGGGCAGUAAGUUAAUACCUUGCUGUUUUGACGUUACCGACAGAAUAAGCACCGGCUAACUCUGUGCCAGCCGCCGCCGUAA
rnacentral:rRNA from 1 species